rnacentral:rRNA from 1 species
AGAGACAGCAGUAGCCGCGGGAAUACGUAGGUGGCGAGCGUUGUCCGGAAUUAUUGGGCGUAAAGGGAGCGCAGGCGGACAUAUAAGUCCAUCUUAAAAGUGCGGGGCUCAACCCCGUGAGGGGAUGGAAACUGUAUGCCUUGAGUGCAGGAGAGGAAAGCGGAAUUCCCAGUGUAGCGGUGAAAUGCGUAGAUAUUGGGAGGAACACCAGUGGCGAAGGCGGCUUUCUGGACUGUAACUGACGCUGAGGCUCGAAAGCCAGGGGAGCGAACGGGAUUAGAUACCCCUGUAGUCCCUGUCUCUUAUACA